rnacentral:rRNA from 1 species
UACGUAGGUCCCGAGCGUUGUCCGGAUUUAUUGGGCGUAAAGCGAGCGCAGGUGGUUUAUUAAGUCUGGUGUGAAAGGCAGUGGCUCAACCAUUGUAUGCAUUGGAAACUGGUAGACUUGAGUGCAGGAGAGGAGAGUGGAAUUCCAUGUGUAGCGGUGAAAUGCGUAGAUAUAUGGAGGAACACCGGUGGCGAAAGCGGCUCUCUGACCUGUAACUGGCACUGAGGCUCGAAAGCGUGGGGAGCAAACAGG